rfam:Spinacia oleracea cultivar SynViroflay scaffold94585.con0011.1, whole genome shotgun sequence.
CACUAGCCCUGAUGGCAGCGGAAAUCCCUUUUGGGCAGCGGUAGAUUGUCUAUCCCAAGGGUUUCUCAAAAGGAUUGUAGCAGACAGCAGGACGGAAC